CAGCGCGCCCUCGGCACGGCUGCCUGUGGGCGUCUCAUCUCAGUGCUGGGCUUUGACAGCCUGUCCUCCGUGCCUCUGCGUGGCUCCGUGGAAAGGAGAAAGGGCCUUGAGUUAAACGGAGGUGCUUCGCCGUGAAGAUGCCUCCGCACAGCACGUAGAGCUUACAGACGUGGUGGUCCCACAGAGAGAGCCGACGGAGGGACGCUGUGGCUGGAGCAAGCUCCCACACUGCGGCAGACCCCAUUUUUACCUGCUCCUCCCAGCUCAGCUCUCCUUUGUCGCUGGUGGCAAAGCCGUGAAGCUGUGAUGUCCUGCAGGCCUGUCCCACCGCCAGGAAUGGUUGCCCUCAGUUGUGAGUGGGAUGCAGGAGGUUCUCCUCUAUGACUUGCGUUCUAGCACUCAGCAGAGCUCAGAAAAGCAAGAAAACAACCUUCCUGGUUAAUCUUUCUUUGUGCAACGCUACGGUUAUCUGCAGAGGGUCUCUUCCAAAAAGUCACGUAUAAUAAUAGCAUUGUUUUCCAGAACAAUCCUUUAUUAAUCCAAUAAAAACAAGAGUGUGCUUUGCUUUGGCAGAGAACUGCAUAAACAUGACAGCACUCAAAACCAGUUGUGUUUCUGAGUGGAAUGCUUUAUUCCAGCAAGGAAUCUGUUAUUUGGCUACAGUCCCACGGAGGAGUUCAAACAAUUGAAAUGUCAUUACCGUGACAGGAUGAUGGCCAAGAAGUGAUGAUGUACUCUUCUGACAUUACAGACUCAGAUUGUCCCUCUGGCACAUGAAGCACAGCACAACAUGUUGGGCACAGGAGCUGGAGAGAGAAGAGACCAAAAUCACAAACACAAGGAAGGAAGAAUAUGAAGAAAACUUAAUAAUAACAUCGAAAUUUCUUGAAUCCAACCUCUGUUCCAAGUUUCUCAUUACAUGAGAUGACAGCUGCAACUCACCCUGUUAACAGUGAACCUGCGUUAUUGUCUGGGCCUGAAAUACUCAGUAAUAAGUUUACUGGCAUAUGAAAUAAAACUCUGAGAGAGAUGAUUGCAAUAUUAGAAGGGUAACUGGCCCGGUCUUGUUCUCACUGAAGGUAGUGGGAACCAAAUCAGAUAGUUCGAUGAGAAUAAAAACUCAUUGCUUCUGCCUUUAGAAAACUGUACUGUUGGACUAAGCCAUAUUCUGGAGGGCUGUUCUUUAUUGUUUUUUGAAAACAUGUUGCACUUGAUGAAGUAAUGGGCAUUUAUUUUUAGAAAAAAAUCUUCAAGAACUUGUAGGUAUUUGUUUGUAGAGUUUGAGGUAAAACGUUUGAUCGUGAAACUCAAAUAUCAACAGCAGAUUAGCUAAAUCAAAUGUCAAAGCAGCAGAAAAGACAAUAAUGACAAGGACUUUAUGAUUUGGAGGAGUAAGAGGAAAAGACAUUCUUUAAAAUGUUGAUUUUUGGACCAAGUUGGCAUAAGAAACCAGAUGAUGUCCUUUUCAUCAGAGGGACAAUAUUUUGAUGGUGUUCUAUAAUAAGGACAUACAUUCCUAUUGUGAUUCAAAGAUGUUAAAAUUAUUUUGAACUGCUC
ensembl:lncRNA